CUCAUCACCCAACACAGCAAAGUUAGCGCCUGAGACUUUGCCUAGGCUUGAUUUUGGCUUGGUCCUUCCUUCACUGUUAAAAGUCUGUCUGUCUCUCAAAUUCGGGUGUCUCUCACUUUACCUCUACCUGCUGUACUCCUUUCCCAUCUCGUCCGGAAGAAGUGCCAUCCCGCCCUGUCCUGUCCUACAGCAGGAAAAGACACCUACUCCUUUUCUAAGACUCACUGAUUUGAUGUGGCAUGCCAAGGACCAGCAUCAGCUUGGGAGAGGGUCCUGAGGAAGGGGUGUUUGGACGCAGUGGAAGAAUGACUCAAAGUCAAUGAUGCG
rnacentral:lncRNA from 1 species